rnacentral:rRNA from 1 species
CCUACGGGAGGCAGCAGUGGGGAAUAUUGCACAAUGGGCGCAAGCCUGAUGCAGCCAUGCCGCGUGUAUGAAGAAGGCCUUCGGGUUGUAAAGUACUUUCAGUGGGGAGGCGUUACCCGCAGAAGAAGCACCGGCUAACUCCGUGCCAGCAGCCCGGUAAUACGGAGGGUGCAAGCGUUAAUCGGAAUUACGGGCGUAAAGCGCACGCAGGCGGUCUGUAAGUCGGAUGUGAAAUCCCCGGGCUCAACCUGGGAACUGCAUUCGAAACUGCAGACUAGAGUCUUGUAGAGGGGGGUAGAAUUCCAGGUGUAGCGGUGAAAUGCGUAGAGAUCUGGAGGAAUACCGGUGGCGAAGGCGGCCCCCUGGACAAAACUGACGCUCAGGUGCGAAAGCGUGGGGAGCAAACAGGAUUAGAUACCCUAGUAGUC